AGCAAGAGACCAAAAAUAAUUUAACAAAUACAACGUGGCUUACAAAAUGAGUGGAUAAUCAAUCUCUUCCUAGGGGAUAAGAUAACAAUAUGCUACAGAACAGAAGCUACUUAAAACUCAAUUUCUAUCCAACCUCUACACCAAUUAACGGCAAAAAUUAGGGAAAGGAUAAAUGAACAAGUAUGCAGUAAGAGCUCUUAUGAAAAACAGCUCAAGACAAAACUCUCUACCUGCGGACAUCCAACCAUUUCAAAUCAAAAAAGAAUUACUAAAUUAGCUUCACUUAUUUGCCAAAAACAGCUUCUCAAGCUGUAGCAGAAAUCCGUGGUGUCAUAUUCUUGGCAGUUCCAUUUGCCAUACCACCACCACGAUUCAUUCGCCAGUUGUUGCCUCCCAUGUUGUCACUUCGCUGAAAGCCAUCACCACCUCCACGAUUGGAUGACCCUCCGCGAUUGCCACCUCUGUUGUUGAACUCGCUUCUUCCAUUGAAAUCACCACGAUUAUAGCCCCUCCCACUGCCUCCAUAGUUACCUCGCCCACGUACUCCAUCAUUUCUGACUCCAUUACCCCUUCCAGAUGGAUAUCUACCCCUAGUGUUACCUCGAGAACUGGUGGACUUCUUCUCUUCAACGGCAGCUUGGCGUCCACCAAUUAAAAUUGGAGAAGCCUCAAUUGCUUUUUGCACAGCAGUUUCCACCUCAAAUUCCACAAAGCCAAAACAAAAUCCCUGUUGUCUGUUACUUCGGACUUGAAUGCCUCCAUUCUUUAUA
rnacentral:misc_RNA from 1 species